CCUACGGGAGGCAGCAGUGGGGAAUAUUGCACAAUGGGCGCAAGCCUGAUGCAGCCAUGCCGCGUGUGUGAAGAAGGCCUUCGGGUUGUAAAGCACUUUCAGUCAGGAGGAAAGGUUAGUAGUUAAUACCUGCUAGCUGUGACGUUACUGACAGAAGAAGCACCGGCUAACUCCGUGCCAGCAGCCGCGGUAAUACGGAGGGUGCGAGCGUUAAUCGGAAUUACUGGGCGUAAAGCGUACGCAGGCGGUUUGUUAAGCGAGAUGUGAAAGCCCCGGGCUCAACCUGGGAACUGCAUUUCGAACUGGCAAACUAGAGUGUGAUAGAGGGUGGUAGAAUUUCAGGUGUAGCGGUGAAAUGCGUAGAGAUCUGAAGGAAUACCGAUGGCGAAGGCAGCCACCUGGGUCAACACUGACGCUCAUGUACGAAAGCGUGGGGAGCAAACAGGAUUAGAUACCCUGGUAGUCCACGCCGUAAACGAUGUCUACUAGAAGCUCGGAGCCUCGGCUCUGUUUUUCAAAGCUAACGCAUUAAGUAGACCGCCUGGGGAGUACGGCCGCAAGGUUAAAACUCAAAKGAAUUGACGG
rnacentral:rRNA from 1 species